rnacentral:rRNA from 1 species
AUUGAACGCUGGCGGAAUGCUUUACACAUGCAAGUCGAACGGCAGCACGGGGGCAACCCUGGUGGCGAGUGGCGAACGGGUGAGUAAUACAUCGGAACGUGCCCGGUCGUGGGGGAUAACGUAGCGAAAGCUACGCUAAUACCGCAUACGAACUGAGGUUGAAAGCGGGGGAUCGCAAGACCUCGCGCGAUUGGAGCGGCCGAUGGCAGAUUAGGUAGUUGGUGGGGUAAAGGCCUACCAAGCCGACGAUCUGUAGCUGGUCUGAGAGGACGACCAGCCACACUGGGACUGAGACACGGCCCAGACUCCUACGGGAGGCAGCAGUGGGGAAUUUUGGACAAUGGGCGCAAGCCUGAUCCAGCCAUUCCGCGUGCAGGAUGAAGGCCCUCGGGUUGUAAACUGCUUUUGUACGGAACGAAAAGGCUCUGGUUAAUACCUGGGGCUGAUGACGGUACCGUAAGAAUAAGCACCGGCUAACUACGUGCCAGCCGCCGCGGUAA